GGCCGCCUGGCGAAAUGGCAUCGCGUCUGACUACGAGUUAAUUACGUAGUGUUACGUAAUCGGGCAUCAGGAGAUUGCAGGUUCGACCCCUGCGGUGGUCA